GAUGAAGAACGUAGCGAAAUGCGAUACGUAAUGUGAAUUGCAGAAUUCAGUGAAUCAUCGAGUCUUUGAACGCACAUUGCGCCCCCUGGUAUUACGGGGGGCAUGCCUGUCCGAGCGUCAUUGCUGCCCUCAAGCACGGCUUGUGUGUUGGGCCUCCGUCCUCCUCCCGGGGGACGGGCCCGAAAGGCAGCGGCGGCACCGCGUCCGGUCCUCGAGCGUAUGGGGCUUCGUCACCCGCUCUUGUAGGCCCGGCCGGCGCUUGCCGACACAUCAAUCUUUUUUCCAGGUUGACCUCGGAUCAGGUAGGGAUACCCGCUGAACUUAAGCAUAUCAAUAAGCGGAGGA
rnacentral:misc_RNA from 1 species